UACGGGGGGAGCAAGCGUUGUUCGGAUUUACUGGGCGUAAAGGGCGGGUAGGCGGCCACCGCAAGUCGACUGUGAAAUCUCCGGGCUUAACCCGGAAACUGCCAUUGAUACUAUUUGUCUUGAAUACUGUGGAGGUCAGCGGAAUAUGUCAUGUAGCGGUGAAAUGCUUAGAUAUGACAUAGAACACCAAUUGCGAAGGCAGCUGGCUACACAAAUAUUGACACUGAGGCACGAAAGCGUGGGGAUCAAACAGG
rnacentral:rRNA from 1 species